ACAUUAUUGAUGAGUUGUUAGGCGGCCAAAGGGGAGCACGAACAUAAGUUAAGUGUGACAGAGAUGAAGAUGUUGAGAUGGAUGAAUGGUCAUACGCAAUUGGAUAGAAUAAAGAACAAAUAUAUAAGAGAGAGAGAGAGAGAGAGAGAGAGAGAGAGAGAGUUGCAGUAGCACCUAUUGUAAAAAAGAUGGUAGAAUCACGUCUCAGGUGGUUUGGACAUAUGAGAAGAAGACCGACAGAGCACCCAGUCAGGAGGGUGGAUGAGAUGGAAAAUGGACAAGGGGUGAAAGGCAGAGAAAAACUUAGGAAGACCAUCCAUAAGGUGGUCAAACGAGAUCUACAUGUAAACAGUCUCUCUGUAGACAUGAUACAUGAUAGAGCUCAAUGACAUUGUUUGAUCCAC